rnacentral:rRNA from 1 species
AUGGGUGUUGGCUCGAACAAUUCGCAUUGGUCUCAAACCAAUGACAUGCAUUUCGAAGACCAUGAGUUCGAGGUGGACGUGGAUGGUGAGGGCAUUGUCGACGCACCGAAAGAAAGAGGAGGCAACUACACCAACGACGAAGACAUUGUCCUAUGCAAAACUUGGUUGGACGUGUCGAGGGAUCCAUCCGUUGGAGGUGAUCAAAAUAGAGAUGCUUAUUGGCUCCGGAUGAAAGAACACUUUGAUCUUACAUUCUAUUCCCUCCGUCCCAUCAUAUAA